AACGAACGCUGGCGGCGUGGAUAAGACAUGCAAGUCGAACGGGACAGACCGAGUAGCAAUAUUUGGAAUGUUCAGUGGCGAACGGGUGCGUAACACGUGGAUAACAUUCCGGAAAGCGGGGAAUGGCCCAGGGAAACCUGGAUUAAUACCGCAUGUGGCCGCAAGGCUAAAGACGGGGACCGCAAGGCCUGUCACUUUCCGAUUGGUCCGCGGCCUAUCAGCUAGUUGGCGGGGUAAUGGCCCACCAAGGCUACGACGGGUAGCUGGUCUUAGAGGACGACCAGCCACACUGGAACUGAGACACGGUCCAGACACCUACGGGUGGCAGCAGUCGAGAAUCUUUCACAAUGGGGGCAACCCUGAUGGAGCGACGCCGCGUGGAGGAUAAGGUCUUCGGAUUGUAAACUCCUGUCAUGCGAGAACAAGGUACUCAGGCUAUUAACCUGAUUGUUUGAUGGUACCGCAAGAGGAAGAGACGGCUAACUCUGUGCCAGCCGCCGCGGUAAGAC
rnacentral:rRNA from 1 species